AUACUUACCUGAUUGGAGAGAUACCCCAUCAGUUAGGUAAGGCGGUAUUCUCAGGGCAAGUCCUACCCAUUGCGCUUCAGGAGGGAAGGUUGACCCCUGCGAUUUCCCUAAAUGUGGGAAAGUCGAGUGUAAAUUUUGUAUGAUGCAGGAAACGAUUGACCAGC
ensembl:snRNA U1 U1 spliceosomal RNA